rnacentral:misc_RNA from 1 species
GUCUGCCCUUUGGUUCCACUGGGAGCCUUCGAGUCUGAACCUGAACUUUUCUCUGGGGAAGGCGGUGUAUCUGAUAAUGUUGGCUGAUUAUCACCGGGAAAUGGGCUUUUCGAUGGUAACUCCUUGCUUGAUUUAGGACUGCGACUCGAUGGAGGAAAUGGGCUAAUGCUCAGAGGAGGAGCUGCCGCAGUUACAUUAGCAACAAGAUGAGCAUUUCCGUCUAUAAUGACUUUCACACUAUCCCGGAAUUUCGGUAAUGGUGGAUCAAAAUUGUUCCCACUUAAAUCCAACAAUCUCAAUGAUCUGAGCUCUGUUAAGUUUGCAGGAACUCGACCGUGCAAGCUAUUUCUUUUUAAGUGAACUUCAAGCAGUGAAUCCAAGUUUGCAAGUGAAGGACUAAGCGUACCCGUAAGGUUCUUGUUCUGUAGAUUAACAAUAGUAAUCUGGCCUUUAGAAUUGCAACUGAUUCCCAACCAAGGACCUGCACAUGGAUCAUUACCACUCCAUUCAGGAGCAAGGUUAGCUGGAUAAUUCCAACCGCCAAGAAGAUCUAAAAGUGCAUUAACUUGAGGAGCACAAGGAACACCAGGAGUUGUCUGACAGAAAGAAUUCGAGGAAUAUGUAGCAUUCACAGCUCUAAACUUCGGCACAGGACCCAUUAGCUUAUUAUUGUUCAAGUCUAACACACUCAAGUCUAGAUUCGCCAAACCUUGCGGAAUCAGACCAACGAGUUGAUUUCCGUUAAAAUUUAGCUCCUUCAAGUCAUUCAAAUCACCAAUUGUAUCAGGAAUCGGUCCA